rnacentral:pre_miRNA from 1 species
UACCGAGGUUUUCCUCGGCAGUUAACUGUCGCCGGUUUUAUUUUUCUUCGGUAGUUAACUGCCAAGGCGUCC